rnacentral:pre_miRNA from 14 species
AACCCCAUGGAGAUACUGAUGCUCAUAACCUGUAACAGCAACUCCAUGUGGAAGUAGAUAUAAUAUUCCGGUGGAGAUGCUGUUAUCUGUAAUGUGUAUCUAUAAUUCUUUAAGUGGAA